rnacentral:rRNA from 1 species
GAUGAACGCUAGCGAUAGGCUUAACACAUGCAAGUCGAGGGGCAGCAUGAAUCAAGCUUGCUUGAUUUGAUGGCGACCGGCGCACGGGUGAGUAACGCGUAUGCAACCUACCCAUCAGAGUGGGAUAAUCCGUCGAAAGACGGUCUAAUACUGCAUGAAGCAGGGGUCUCGCAUGAGAAAUAUUUACUAAAGGUACGAGCCGCCUGAUGGAGUGGGCGAUGCGUAACAUUAG